rnacentral:lncRNA from 1 species
CGAAUGCAAUAAGAAGCCGAGCUGAGGGGAACUGCAACGAAUAGAACGGUUUGCUGACAGGAGUGCUGACUAUUCAGGGAGAGUGACUCUCCAAAACAUGUAUGUGUCAUCUUUUUACAAUGCCAAGGGUCAAUUCAGGAAGCCACAAGCUGUGAGACGAUAGAAAAUGACAAGGAAGAGAAAGAGUGGAGAGAAAGGAAAGGCAGGUGCACAGAAGAAGGUGGCCCAAAAAAGAGAUGGUAGGACAUCAUCAUCCAGAACACGUUCGCAGAGCCAAACGAAAUGCAAGCAUACUGGUCACCCAAGCCCAUCCAGAUCCAGAGACCAUGGAGGGCACAGCACGGGCACAACAGAGUCUGAACCGCUGAGUAAAGAUGCUCAGACUCAAACAAGCCCAAGUGGGCUGGAAAACAAGGAGACUCAGACGGAGACCGUUAGUCAGGCAACACAACAGACACAAACAGAGCUCAAUGGCAACACUGAGACCACAGAAGUGUCAACAGAACUCGGUCCUGAAGAUGUUAAGAUGGAGGUGGAAACUGGCCUGUCAAGGAACAAAGGAAAUGAAAGUGAUGGAGAAAAGGAUGAAAGUGCUGAGAGGAAGAAAAGGAAAGUGGGUGAAACAAGGGAACCUACAGAGGAGACAAAAGAAAGGACCAAACUAUCAGAUGGUUGCAGAAAACAAGAUGGAGACGAUCAGAAAGACAAAGUUGCAAAUAAAGAAUGUUCGGAAGGAGAUUCACAAAAGGGCACUAAACUCAAGUCAAUAACAGAAGAACCAAAAUCGUACGCAGCAGCUGCUGGGGCGGGAAAGACUGAACAGUCUAAGGAGCAGAGGAAUCAGACAGCAACAGUUCAAGACAAUAGCAAAAGAAGAAAACCUUCCCCAGUGAGGGCUCCAGCCGAACAGCCAGUGUUCACUUUCUACAUUUAUGCUGUUCUGGACAAAAAAUUCAGAUUUGACAGACAGCAUGACUCUCUUUUGCUCCUUCAAGGGAAUGAAGUCUUUGAACUACAGAUUACAUAUUUUUGGGGUCUACAACAGGAAGGCUAUUUGAUUGAAGCAACAUUUUCACUUUGGCAAGGCAUUGACAGGGGUGUUCCAAUAGAAUACAGAUAUGCAGUUCAGAAACAAAAUGGCACCAUUAUGGAAACAGCAUUAAGACAUGUUUAUGUCCCCACUGAAAAUACAGUAAAAGAACUGCACCUUUAUGAAGGUUACAUAAGUUCAAGUUCAAGAUCUGUUAAAGAACGGGUGACAGACUGGAUCUUUCGGAAUGCACAAGAAGAAAUUUGCAAACGCUGGGAGACCUCUGCACAUGCACUGCUGGACAGAGUGUUUAAGAAAUGGGGGUCAUUUAAUGAUGAAGACAACAAGACACUUAUCCAACACCUAAACAGUUACAAACAAGGUUUUCAGUCAGUCAUGAGACGUUUGAAAUUUCCAGAGCAUCCUUCCCC